CAACCUAGGUCCCGCCUCUUCCCUUCAGCCAUCCCAGGCGUGGUGAGUAGAUCAUAGAGCCUGUACGUCCGCCCAGGUGCAGGAGCUGCGCAGUUCCCGGCAGGGACUUAACUGUUGCCGGGAGGUUUUUGAGAGAGGCGUUCUUGUGGCGGUGGCGGAAGCAGGACAUCGCGGGCAGCCUCCACCCCGCCCCUACAGUGCCCGUGUCUGACCUGGACCUCGGAUCUGCGAAGUUGAAAAAAUUAUUUUUCCCAAAUCGAGAAGGGGUAGGUCCUGAUGCUGUCCCUGCAGCAGAAUCUUCGCCAUCCUGUACACUCUCCCAAGAGCUACAGAAGAUGAACAUAUCUGAGAAACAUGAUAGGAAUUAGUUCCAAAGGUAUUAUCCACGUCACCUAAUUUUGAAAUCUUCAAAUUGAUGGGAAAUGUGCUUGCACAGACAUCAGUGUCAUUCAUGGCCGUGAUUGUGGAGUUUACCCAGGAGGAGUGGCAGCAUACGAAUCCUGCUCAGAGGACCCUGUACAGACAUGUGGUGCUGGAGAACUACAGCCACCUUGCCUCAUCUGAUAUUACGUGUUUUACAGAUUGAAGUUUUCUGGCAAACGCCUGUGUCAACUACGUCUAUUGCUGCCAGUUUUCCAAUAGCAUUUGCUCACUUCAUGUCUCAUGUGUGAGACUUCGUGUCUCAGAAUUACAUUCUGAUAAUUCUGGCAGUGUUUCAGACUCUUUCAUUAUUGUAUUUGUUUCGGUGAUCUGUGAUCUUUGAUGUUGUAUUGUAAUUGUUUUGGGGCAUCAUGAACUGAGCCCAUAUGAGAUGGCAAGCUUAAUUUAUAAAUGUGUGUGUUCUGACUGCUCAACUUACUGGCCAUUCCCCCAUCUCUCUCCUGCUCUUCAGGCCUCCCUAUUCCCUGAGACACAACAAUAUUGAAAUUAGGCCAAUUAAUAACCCUACAGUGGCCUGUAAGUGUUCAAAUGAAAGGAAGAGUUGCAUGUUUCUUAAUUUAUAUUAUAAGCUAGAAAUAAUCAAUAAGGAAGUUGUGUUGAAAGCCAGGAUAUACCAAAAGCUAGGCCUCUUGCACCAAACAGUCAGCCAAGUUUUGAAUGCAAAGGAAAAGUUCUUGAAAGAGAAUAGAAGUGCUAACUGCAGUGAACACAUGUAUGAUAAGAAAGUGAAACAGCCUGAUUGCUGAUAUAGAGAAAGUUUUAGUGAUCUGGAUAGAAGGUCCAACCAGCCACAACAUUCCCUUAAGCCAAAGCCUAAUCCAGGGCAAGACCCUAACUCUCUUCAAUUCUGUGAAGGCUGAGAGCGGUGAGGAAGCUGCCGAAGAAGAGGUUGAAUCUAGUAUAAUUUGGUUCAUGAGGGUUAUGGAAAGAAGCCGUCUCUGUAAGAUCAGUGUGCAAGGGGGAGCAGCAAGUGCUGCUGGAAAAGAUGCAGCAAGUUAUCCAGAAGAUCUAGCUACAGUAGUUAAUGAAGGUGGCUACACUACACAACAGAGUUUCACUGGAGAUGAAAUAGUCUUCUAUUGGAAUAAGGUGCCAUCUGGGACUUCAAUAGGUAUAGAAGGGAAGUCAAUGCCAGGCUUCAAAGCUUGAAAGGACAGACUGAAUCUCUUGUUAGGGGCUAAUGCAGCUGGUGACUUUAAGUUGAAGCCAUUGCUCAUUUACCAUUCUGGAAAUCCUAGGACCCUUUUGAAUUAUGCUGAUUCUACUUUUCCUGUGGUUUAUAAAUGGAACAACAAAGCCUGGAUGACAGCACAUUUGUUGACAGCAUGGUUUACUGAAUAUUUUAAGCCCAUUGUUAGAACUAUGGCUCAGAACAAAAGAUUCCUUUUAAACUAUGCUCAUUGACAAUGCAGCUGGUCACUCAAGAGCUCUGACGGUGAUGUACAGUGAGAUUAGUGUUGUUUUUAUGCUUGCUAACACAACAUCCAUUCUGCAGCCCAUGCAUCAAGUUUUGACUUUCACGUCUUAUUAUUUAAGAAAUACCUUUUGUAAGGCUAUGGCUGCCAUAGAUCGUGAUUCCUCCAUGGCUCUGGGCAAAGUUAAUUGAAACCCUUCUGAAAAGGAUUGACCAUUCUAGAUGCCAUUAAGAACAGUUGUGAUUCAUGGGAAGAGGUCACAAUAUCAACCUGAACAGGAGUUGGAAGAAGUUGAUUCCAACCCUUAUGGGUGACUUUGAGGGAUACAAAACUUCAUUGAAGGAAGUAACUGCAGAUGUGGUGGAAGAAGCAGAAGAAUCAGAAUUAGAAGUGGAUCCUGAAGGUGUGACUGAACUGCUGCAAUCCCAUGAGAAAAAUUUAAUGAAUGAGGACUUGCUUCUUGAAGGAGCAAAGAAGUGGUUUCUUGAGAUGGAAUCUACUCCUGGUGAAGAUGCUGUGAAGAUCCUUCAAAUGAGAACAAAAGAUUUUAGAAUAUUACACAGAUUUAGUUAAUAAAGUAAUGAGAGGGUUGGAGAGGAUUGACUCUGGUUUUGAAGGAUGUUUUAUGGUUGGUAAAAUGCUGUCAAUUACCUUUGCGUAUUAUGGAGAAAUAAUUCAUGAAAGGAAGAGUCAAUUGAUGUGACCAACUUCAUUGUUGUCUUGUUUUAAGAAACUGCCACAGCCACCCCAGCCUUCAGUAACCACCACCAUUAAUAGCAGCAUCAACACUGAGGCAAGACCCUCUGCCAGCAAGAAGAUUACCGUGCACGGAAGGCUCAAUGAUGGUUAGCAUUUUUAGCAAUAAAGUGUUUUUUAAAUUAAGAUAUGUACAUUGUUUUUUAAGAUAUAAUGCUGUUGCAAACUUAUUAGUCUACUCUGUGUGUAAACACAACUUUUAUAUGUACUGGGAAACCAAUUGUGAAUUGCUUUAUUGUGAUGUUCACAUUUUGCAGUGAUCUGGAACCACACCUGCAGUAUCUCUGAGGUAUGCCUGUAUAUGAAGAAAAAAACAACAACUGCCAAAUGAUUUUAAAGUGCAAGUGUCAUUUAUGUGGGCAUUAGCAACUUAUAGUAGUUCUAGUUGCUCCACAUCCUCACCAUCAUUUUGUGUUGUAAACCUGAUGACUUUUGAUCUUUGUAGUGGGAGUAUGUUUUAUCUACUUGAGUUUUAGUUGCUUUUCCCUUUGACUAAUGUUGCUAGACAACUUUUAUAUGCUGUUUGGCCAUUCAUGUAUAUUUUAUAAAAAGUGUGUUCAUAUCCUCAACCUAUUUGUUUUGUUGAGUUUUUUGUCUUGUUAUAAUUCAAUUGAAAGCGUUCUUUUUACAAUCUGGGUAGAAGACUUUUUAUAAGAUACACCUUUAGGAAUUUUUUUUUCCUUAUCUGUGAUUGCCCUUUUUAUUUGGUAAACAAUAGGACAAAAGGUUUUCAUGUUGAUGAAGUCCACUUUAUUAUUUGCUUUAUUUUCAUAUUCUGUUUUUUCUCCUGUUUAAGAAUAUGACUAAGCAAAGGUCAUUCAGAUUUCCUGUAUUUUUCUUCUAGAAAUUUUCUUGGUUUAGGUUAUAUUUAAGCCUUUGAGUUUUUUAGUUAAUCUCUCUACAUGGUAUGGAAAUAUGGAUUGUUAUUCUUUUUUUUGUAGCUAAAGCUCUAAUUGCUGCACUGGUUAUAUCCUUUCCUAUUCAGUUGCCUUGGCACCUGUUGAAAUAAACUGACUAUAUAUGCUAGGCUUAUUUCUGAAUAUUAUUCUGGUUUAUUUAUCUACAUUUCUAUCUUAAUACUAAUCAUGCACUAUUUUGGUUAAUCUGGCUGUGUAGUAAGUUUUCACAUCAGGAAAGAUAAGUCCUCUUUAAGUUUUUCUUUUGGCUAUUACAGGUUCUUUUUCUUUCUCUGUAAAGUUUAAAAGAAUGUGUUUU